UGUUGACUCCUUUUCUCAACUUCGUUGAAGUCACGUCUUCGUCUCUCUCCUUUUUCCUAUUCCCUACUGCCUACUCCAUUAUUGAUUUAUUUCAUUAUAAAUUAUCACCACCCUCUAUAUAUAUGAUACUACUACUAUAGCUUAAUAUUAUUAUUAAUUCUAGCUUACAUACUAUUUAUGGUCUGUACGUUGGAGUUUGUAGCUCUCAGCUUUAUAAGCCGGAUAUUUCGUAAGUUAAUGGAGUAUAGUACUGUUUAAAAUUGUGAACCUAUAUCUAAAAAAUAUAUUAAAAUAAUUCAUCAUAAAUAAUCUUAAAUAGUCUUAGAAAUAAUAAAAAAUAGUCUAUAGAAUUAUUUAAAAGACCAUUAUUUUUUUAUUAUAAGAUAAUAUAAUUCUAAAUAAUUAGUCUUAAAUUAUGAUAAAUAGUUUAAUUUUAAAUAUAUUUUUUACAAACAAAUAUAAUUUUAGAGUUUGUAACAUUGCUCAUUUAAUUUGACGAGAUUUUAUACUUUUUCCAUGCCAUAUCAUGAGAAUAUCAUAAGAAAUAUAGUCAAGAGUUCUCGUUACAAAGAGAAGAUGGUGCCAAAAGCUGACUUGGGAUUAAUUUACUAGUUAAUAAUAAAAAUUAACAUCUUUUUUUCCAUCCAUUAAUUCUUUAAUUAAUUAAAUAGAAUUGCCCCGUGCUUAUCCAUUUAUGUUGAGGAGAGAAGAGGAAAUCCAUGAUUGGUGAGGCAAGAUAACGUUGGCCAUGUACGGCUUGCAUGUCAGGGAUCAUUGAUUUUUGUUGUUAAUUUGUGAUAUCACUUUAGGGCACAAUAUGCGACUUUUGUUUGAAUUAAGACGAAGAAACUAGAUAUCGUACCUAUUAUGUGUAUAUUUAGAAUAUUUUUUAUAUUUUUUAGAUUAGAGAUUGGUCGACAUGUUCUUGGAACUCAAAUUAACACCCCCACUGGUUAUAAAGGGGAGUGGUUAUAAGGGGUAGUGGUUAAUAUGAAAUUAAUUUUAGUUAAUUGAUUAAUAUAAUGUUGUCAUGCAUGUGGGUGACGAUCUCUUUUUUUGUAUGUCAAGUAUUAUAGUCUUAAUUAAUUGAUUAAUUUAUCAUGUCGUUUUUAAGGAUUGUUGGCAUGUACGGCAACUUGUCAAGUACUAAUAUAAUUAAAUUAGUUUUGUUAUGGAUUUCAAAUUUUUUUAAUUAAAUUAUAAUUAUGACGUUUAUGUCUUCAUGAGAUAUAUAAGAAUUAAAAAUAGUUUCGUUGUAUUUUAUUUUAUGUUAUAGAAAUAUAUAUGAUUUCCCAUUAACUAUAGUAUUUAACAAUGUGUUUGUUGUGCACUUGCUCUUCCGUAUCACGGCGAAUCCAGGUGCAGGCGUGAUAACUGGUGAAACACCAAUUCAAUUAACUCAAAAAAACCUUAUUUUCCUUAUUUAUUG
rnacentral:lncRNA from 1 species